rnacentral:lncRNA from 1 species
UGGAGAACGGCAGUGCCCUUUAGUACAUGGAGAACGGCAGUGCCCGUGAGCACCUGGAGAACGGCAGUGCCCUUUAGUACGUGGAGAACGGCGGUGCCCUUUAGUACAUGGAGAACAGCAGUGCCCGUGAGCACCUGGAGAACGGCAGUGCCCUUGAGCAUGUGGAGAACGGCGGUGCCCUUUAGUACGUGGAGAACGACGGUGCCCUUGAGCACGUGGAGAACGGCGGUGCCCGUGAGCACCUGGAGAAUGGCGGUGCCCUUGAGCACGUGGAGAACGGCGGUGCCCUUUAGUACAUGGAGAACGGUGGUGCCCGUGAGCACGUGGAGAACGGCAGUGCCCUUGAGCACUCGGAGAACGGCAGUGCCCUUUAGAGGCCAGGGCCCCUGACCGUCCUCCCAGAAGCCUGGGCAGACCCAACCUAUUUCUGACUCCCUCACUUAAGCCAUUCCGCGAGCCUCUUGCUAACCCUGACCAGCUCUUCACGCUGCGUGUUUAAACGUCCCGAGCCUGCGGCCUUCUGGCACUUCCAUAGCUGCACACACUUUGAUCCUUGUUGAGAUUCUACAACCCUGGGUGUGUGGACUCCCAGCUCGGAUGUGCUAAGCCUGAGGGUGUACUUUUUCUACAAACAAAAGUUAACAGUGAAGCAGCCUCAGGCAGGUCCUGCAGGAGGUGUCCAGAAGAAGGCCUUGUGAUCACAGGAGGUGACAGCUCUGUGCAUUCAUCACGCUGAAGACCUGCCACUGGAACAAGGUAUGGAGGGGAAGAUGGCAAUCUUGAUGAUCCUGACCCAGUGCAGGCCUAGGCCAAUGUGUGUUUGUGUCUUCAUUUUUAACAAAAAAGUGUAAUAGGCUAAACAUUUGUUUAAAUUAAAAAUAUAAAAAGGAUAUAAAGAAAAUAAUUGUGUACAGCUGUAUAAUGUGUGCUUUAAGCUGAGUAUUAUUACAAAGUAAUCUAAAAGUCAAAAUAUAAAAGCCUAUAAAGUAAAAAAGUUACAGUAUACUAAGGUUAAUCUGUCACUAAAGCAAGAAAUUUUUAAAUAAAUUUGGUGCAGCCUCCACGUGCAGUGUGUAUAAAGCCUACAGCGGUGUACGGUCAUGUCCUGGCCUUCCCACUCAUUCCCCACUCACUCAUGGACUCACUAGAGCAGCCUGCGUGUGCAGUGUGUAUAAAGCCUACAGCAGCACGGUCAUGUCCUGGCUUCCCACUCACUCUCCACUCACUCAUGGACUCACCGGAGCAGCCUGCGUGUGCAGUGUGUAUAAAGCCUACAGCAGUAUACGGUCAUGUCCUGGCCUUCCCACUCACUCCCCACUCACUCAUGGACUCACCGGAGCAGCCUGCGUGUGCAGUGUGUA